UACAGAGGGUGCGAGCGUUACUCGGAAUUACUGGGCGUAAAGGGCGCGUAGGCGGCACUGUUAGUCAGGCGUGAAAGUCCUGGGCUCAACCUGGGAACUGCGCUUGAUACGGCAGAGCUAGAGGAUGGAAGAGGGUCGCGGAAUUCCCAGUGUAGAGGUGAAAUUCGUAGAUAUUGGGAAGAACACCGGUGGCGAAGGCGGCGACCUGGUCCAUUACUGACGCUGAGGCGCGACAGCGUGGGGAGCAAACAGG
rnacentral:rRNA from 1 species